rnacentral:rRNA from 17 species
UAACGACUCUCGGCAACGGAUAUCUCGGCUCUCGCAUCGAUGAAGAACGUAGCGAAAUGCGAUACUUGGUGUGAAUUGCAGAAUCCCGUGAACCAUCGAGUCUUUGAACGCAAGUUGCGCCCAAAGCCUUCCGGCCGAGGGCACGUCUGCCUGGGCGUCACG